UAGGGAAUAUUGCGCAAUGGGGGAAACCCUGACGCAGCAACGCCGCGUGAGUGAUGAAGGCCUUCGGGUUGUAAAGCUCUGUCGUACGGGACGAUAAUGACGGUACCGUACAAGAAAGGACCGGCUAACUUCGUGCCAGCAGCCGCGGUAAGACGAGGGGUCCUAGCGUUGUUCGGAAUUACUGGGCGUAAAGCGCGUGCAGGUGGCCUUUCAAGUCAGAUGUGAAAGCCCCAGGCUUAACCUGGGAAGUGCAUUUGAUACUGUUUGGCUUGAGUACGAGAGAGGGCAGUGGAAUUCCUGGUGUAGUGGUGAAAUACGUAGAUAUCAGGAGGAACAUCGGAGGCGAAGGCGGCUGCCUAUCUCGAUACUGACACUCAGACGCGAAAGCGUGGGGAGCAAA
rnacentral:rRNA from 1 species